rnacentral:tRNA from 1 species
AUGCGGGUAGCUCAAUUGGUAGAGCAGCGGUCUCCAAAACCGCCGGUUGCAGGUUCGAGCCCUGCCCCGUGUGC